AUGUAUUAUGUUCUAUUCCGUUGUUUUUUGUUGUAUUCUGUUGUAUUUUAAUGUAUUAUGUUCUAUUCCGUUGUUUUUUGUUGUAUUCUGUUGUAUUUUAAUGUAUUCUGUUGUCUAUUCUGUUGUAUUCCAGUGGUGUAUCAGAAUUGGUGUACGUUUAGAAAUAAGGGACGUUUAUGCAUUUUUUUCAUUGACUUGGAAAAAACACAAACGUUUGCUUAAUUAUGGACGAACGGCUUCGAGUUGCCUCGUGCAAUAUCAGGUAAUGUGGCCUAAAUACUGACCACUGGGGGGCGUGGACUAUUACAACAUAAUUUAGAGGUGUGCCGGCAGGUGUGUGAGGUGCCAGGUCAGGUGUGCCAGCGUUAGUUACCCCGUUAGGAGCGAUUCUAACACCCGCGUCAUCGGGGGCCGCCGGAACUGAGCCCAGCCCCGUACAGACAGUUUUUCUUACGCUGUGUCACUAAUUAUCGUUUGCAAGAGUCGCCACAACGCCCCACGCAUUCACUGUCGAUGGGGAAAGGCUUUCCUACACUGGCGUUAGCGUAGAUGAUAAACCACUACAUGCCGGAGAUGACCCGACCCGCCCCGCCCCGCCCCACCUUCCUGGCCUGCCCGCCCCCUGGCAUAAAUUGUUUCCAGAAACCCCUAAAUGACCGACUCUUCCAUGCCUGAGAUGACCCGCCCUGCCCUGCGUCAUGACCUCCCGGCAUACAUUGGUGGACAGCAAACAUUGUGGAAGCAGUCCUCUGAGUCAUGGGGAGGACACCACCACAACAGACUGGAUGAUGCAAGUGAAGGCCACGAGAGAGAAGGGGGAGAGAGGACCCGGGAAUGAUCCAAUGUCUUGCUGCCCCACUCACUGAGACAAGCCGCUGGACCCACCCAUCGCCAAGUGUUCCAGGAGGCAAGAAGAAGCAUGGGAGUGACUCUACACCAGGGAACUUUGACAGACCUCCUCCCCCUGCCUUCAAGUCUGGCCAAAGACAAGAAGAAGAAGAAGAGGAAGAGGAAGACUGACAGACAGACAUUCCAUUGAGUGUGCGGUGUCCCGCAGGCAGGCAGACCGAGACGCCAGCCAUUCAAUUCUGCCGAGGGAAGGAAGUCGUGUUAGUCAACUCUGAUGACUUGUACUUUUCUCUGCAAGGGACUGUUCUGUAAGCCAGUCACAGAAGAUGUGAACUGUAUCUGUACUAUGAAGUCU